AAGGAUCAUUAUCGUACCACAUGUGUGAGGCGUGCGAGGGCUGUCGCUGACUUUUUGACACAAAAGUCGUGCACGCCGGAGCGUGUCCUCUCACAUAAAAUCCAUCUCACCCUUUUGUGCACCACCGCGUGGGCACCUUUUGGGAUCGAACCGAUCCUGGAGGGGGCUUGCGUUUUCACACAAACCCCUUUUAAAAAGUGUAGAAUGACCCCAUUUUGCGAUGACACGCAAUCAAUACAACUUUCAACAACGGAUCUCUUGGCUCUCGCAUCGAUGAAGAACGCAGCGAAAUGCGAUACGUAAUGUGAAUUGCAGAAUUCAGUGAAUCAUCGAAUCUUUGAACGCACCUUGCGCCCCUUGGUAUUCCGAGGGGCACACCCGUUUGAGUGUCGUGAAAAUCUCAACCUUCUCGGUUUUCUUCUGGACACCGAAGGAGGCUUGGACUUUGGAGGCCUUUGCUGGCAUCUCUCUCUUUUUGAGAGCCAGCUCCUCUUAAAUGAAUUAGCGGGGUCCUCUUUGCCGAUCCUCGACAUGUGAUAAGAUGUUUCCAUGACUUGGUUUCUGGCUCUGUUGCCUUUGGGACCCGCUUCUAACCGUCUCUCGACGAGACAAUGUUUGGGCGUGUCUCCCUUCUCGGGAGACUCUCUCAACCCCACGAACCCUUGACCUCAAAUCGGGUGAGACUACCCGCUGAACUUAA
rnacentral:rRNA from 1 species